AUACGGAGGAUCCGAGCGUUAUCCGGAUUUAUUGGGUUUUAAGGGUGCGCAGGCGGCCAUUUAAGUCAGCGGUUAAAUCGUGGGGCUCAACCCCAUUCUGCCGUUGAUACUGGGUGGCUUGAUUGCGGUCGAGGUUGGCGGAAUUCGUUGUGUAGCGGUGAAAUGCAUAGAUAUGACGAAGAACACCGAUUGCGUAGGCAGCUGACCAGACCGCAAAUGACGCUCAUGCACGAAAGUGCGGGGAUCGAACAGGAUUAGAUACCCUGGUAGUCCGCACAGUAAACGAUGAAUACUUGUUUUCGGCGAUAUAAUGUCGGAGGCAAAGCGAAAGCGAUAAGUAUUCCACCUGGGGAGUACGCCGGCAACGGUGAAACUCAAAUGAAUUGACGGGG
rnacentral:rRNA from 1 species